AAGUCGUAACAAGGUCUCCGUUGGUGAACCAGCGGAGGGAUCAUUACUGAGUACUACACUCUCUACCCUUUGUGAACUAUUAUACCUGUUGCUUCGGCGGCGCCCGCAAGGGUGCCCGCCGGUCUCAUCAGAAUCUCUGUUUUCGAACCCGACGAUACUUCUGAGUGUUCUUAGCGAACUGUCAAAACUUUUAACAACGGAUCUCUUGGCUCCAGCAUCGAUGAAGAACGCAGCGAAACGCGAUAUGUAAUGUGAAUUGCAGAAUUCAGUGAAUCAUCGAAUCUUUGAACGCACAUGGCGCCUUCCAGUAUCCUGGGAGGCAUGCCUGUCCGAGCGUCGUUUCAACCCUCGAGCCCCUGUGGCCCGGCGUUGGGGAUCUGCCACGGCAGGCCCCUAAAACCAGUGGCGGACCCGAAGGGCCCUCUCCUUUGCGCAGUAGCAUUCGCCUCGCAUUGGGAGUCCUCGGCGUCCUGCCUCUAAACCCCCCACAAGUCCGCUUCGGCGGCACCAAGGUUGACCUCGGAUCAGGUAGGAAUACCCGCUGAACUUAA
rnacentral:rRNA from 1 species